rnacentral:rRNA from 1 species
CUGCCCGGUGAAUUUUUUAACGGCCGCGGUACUCUGACCGUGCAAAGGUAGCAAAUCAUUUGCCUUAUAAUUGAAGGCUAGAAUGAAUGGUUUGACAAGAAUACAACUGUCUCUUUACAAUUACAUAAAAUUUUAUCUGCAGUUGAAGAAGCCUGCAUUUGAAUAAAAGACAAGAAGACCCUAUCGAGCUUAAAAAAAACUGGUGGAAUAACAAACUUAAUCCUAACUUAUAAAUAAAUAAAUAGUCAACUACUGGAAAUUUUGGUUGGGGCGACCGGGGAACAAAAAAAACUUCCUUUAUAAAAAUUUAGAUGCCCAAAUAUUGAUCCAGCAUUAUAUGAUUAAAGAAAUUAGUUACCGUAGGGAUAACAGCAUUAUCUUUUUUAAGAGUUCUUAUCGAAAAAAAGGUUCGUGACCUCGAUGUUGGACCAGAAUAUCCUAAAGAUGCAGCCGUCUUUAAGGGUUGGUCUGUUCGACCAUUAAAAUUCUACGUGAUCUGAGUUCA